AUGCAGCCUCUUCCCUGCAAACUCAUGUGUGCAAAGUCACGCACACAACCUCUUCCAUGCAAAGUCACGCAUGCAGUCAUGCACGCAACCUCUUCCAUGCACCCUCUUUCAUGCAAACACAGGUGUGCAGUCAUGCAUGCAAACUCAUGCACGCAACCUCUUCCAUGCAACCUCAUGCAUGCAACCUCUUCCAUGCAACCAAGUCAUGCAUGCAACCUCUUCCAUGCAAACUCAUGCAUGCAACCUCUUCCAUGCAAACUCAUGCAUGCAACCUCUUGCAUACAAAUUCAUGCAUGCAAAGUCAUGCACGCAACCUCUUCCAUGCAACCAGUACAUGCAACCCUUGGGCUCUGGGGAAGGAGACACACAAAUCUGUUYGAGCUCUCUGCAAAAUCCAUCUUUAAUUUCCCACCUGUAGAGCUGCAUAAACCAGUCCCUGGGCAACCGUUUUGCCCCUCCCUCCCCCACCCCCGUGGCAGCCUCAGGGUUAGACUCCCGGCUCCCCAUGCAAAAUCCUUGCAGAGGUGGACAGGUAGAGGCUGAGCUGCAUCCCCAUGUCCCACUCCUCCAGGAGGGGCAGACGGGCAGGGGGAGCGUGGCUGUGCCCCCCGGCACCCCGCAGCAGGGACAUGGGGUGGCACGGUGACCCCCAGCCACCGGGGCUGAGCCCUGCCCUCCACCUCCAAAAGCGGGGGGGGGGGGGGGAACGCGGAGGUGAGGACGAGGCCGUGCCGGAGCGAUAGGCGCAGAUGGCCAUGGCGCACACACACGCCGAGAUACAGGCAGCGAUACGCAGCCCGAGACGCUCUCCCAGCCCGCUCUCUGAUAGCCUCGGUGGCUGCGCUUAUCUGCACCUAUGACACCGGCAGCCUGAAAAGAUUUUUUUUUUUCCUCCUUCGUGUGCACCAGCCUUUCUACUUCUCUUGUGCUGCUUCGCCCUUUUCUUCCCCCCGUUGCAACCGGCGCCAGAUCAGAGCGCCGAGACGUUCCCGGAGACUGACAGCUCGCGCCCAGCCUCCUUCCCCCCCCCAGCCCCC
rnacentral:lncRNA from 1 species